GACGUAGGGCGCGAGCGUUGUCCGGAUUUAUUGGGCGUAAAGAGUUCGUAGGUGGUUUGUCGCGUUGUCCGUGAAAACUCACAACUCAAUUGUGGGCGUGCGGGCGAUACGGGCAGACUGGAGUACUGCAGGGGAGACUGGAAUUCCUGGUGUAGCGGUGGAAUGCGCAGAUAUCAGGAGGAACACCGGUGGCGAAGGCGGGUCUCUGGGCAGUAACUGACGCUGAGGAGCGAAAGCGUGGGGAGAGAACAGG
rnacentral:rRNA from 1 species